AAGGCAGACAUAAAUGGAAAAAUCCUUCUUACAUUAAAUUAGUAGUUUUUAAAGACUGAGUUUAACAUGACACCAGGGCCUGUUUAUUUGAUCAUUAAAAAGAGAGAUGAGCUCAUCAACUCAAAGCAACGAGAGGUUAAGCAAGAGAAGAAAAAGCCCAGCAGUGGUAAAAAACUUGAGUUGGAAUUGAAAUCAGUUCAGUGUGUUCCUACAGCAAGUGGAGACCCUCCUGCACAGACUCAUGAGAGUGUUGAAGAUGUCUCAAAAGAGAGACAAACUUCAACUUCAAAGGAAGAUUGCAGACAUCGACCAUUUGAUCAAGAAGGGAUUGAUUUCAUAUAUGUAAAGCACAGAGUCCUGCAACCAGAAUCAGGUGCUCUUGAUCUCAUAUCUCCAUGCCAUGAAUUUAAGUCAUUUGCCAUAGCUGCUGCAUUGGAUCGCACAAGACUCCAAGCUAAGUUUGCAAAAGAGGUCCUUAAAUUUGCCACUGGCUGUAUGAACAUUAGAUCAAAUGGUACAAUACACUUUGGUGUGAUGGACAGCAAGGAGGAUGCAGGUUAUGUGCAUGGUGAGAUAAUUGGUAUCCCUGUCAAAGAGAGAGAUAUUUUUGUAGAUGCUUUGGACUACAUUGAAAAAAGUGUCUGUUCUGACAAGGAGCAUGUACGCCAGUGUGUGCGGCCUCCAAGGUUCAUUGAAGUUAUGGACAGGGAAAGUACAGAAAAGAAGUAUGUGGUAGAGGUUGACAUUGUGCCUUCUAUUAGUAUUGUUAAAAGCAAGGUGUAUGAAGUUCGUCUACCAAACUUCAAUGAGAAAACUAUCAAAGUGGAGUUUGAAAAAGAAGCCAUCCUGCGGAGGUUGGGUGCAAAAACAGAGACAGUGAUUGACAAAGACCUAAGUGAUUUCUACCAGAGAGUCAAAGAUCGGGAUGCACAAAGGGAAGAAGCAGAGAAAAUGAAGUUCCUUAGUGCCCCAGAAAACUGCCAAGACCUAGGACGGAAACUAACAAUGCUGAUGACAAAUGGGAAGAAAUUCAUGUAAAAAGAUAAAUGGUUCAUACUCAUCACAAAUAAAUUCCCACCUGAUGACCUUUGCAACAUUGACUGGCUGCUCAACAUGAACAUAUUCUGUGUUUUUGACUUUGACCCAGACUCAAAGAUAUCGGGUCUUUGCAGUAGAUACCUUCAGCAUCACGCUGCAAACAUGCAUUCUCUGCAGAGUUAUAAGAUACCCGGCAACAUGAACAAUAACUAGUGUUCCAUCUACUUUUGUCAAUAAAACAACAGCAUUACAAACGUGUCAGUGAUCACCAAAUUCUAGAAAUGGUCAGAAUGUGAUUAAGACUAUUGUCGAACGACUGGAAAGUCUCUAAAAUAAUCUUUUGUUGGUUGCUUGCAGGAUGUGAGUGACAGAAUAGAAAAGGAGCCGCUGGACGGACCAAUCGUGAGACAGCUGGAGAGAGGAGGGAGGGCUGUUGUGAAGAGUGACUGGAGGGAGCAUAUCACAGUGCCACUGCAGACAGAUCUGCGGAAGUUCCGUUCCUAUAAAGGUGGAUCGGUCAGAGACCUGAUGCGUGCAAUGAGAAACAAGAAACACCAUUACAGAGAGUUGCCUGCAGAGGUACAAGAGACUCUGGGCUCCAUCCCUGAUGACUUUGUCUCUUACUUCACCUCCCGAUUCCCCCACCUGCUCAUGCACACCUACCUGGCCAUGCGGACAUGUGCAUCAGAGAGGCCGUUCCUGCCUUACUACUCCACUGCUGAGCAGAAUGGAAAAACACAAGCCGAAUACACACACCUCAGACCACAGAGACAAAAUGAGCCGUGCACUCAACACCUGCCAACAGACACAUCAUCAAACGCCUCACAACCACAGGAACCUGCACAUUCUCUACAGCUGGUGCAGGUCGAUCACACGGUAACAAAUGGACCAUCGCCCUCUUCAUUACCAGAUGAGCCGGUAUCUUCAGAUUUAGCGGUUCAGACAGUGCAGCCAGCAGAGUUAACACUUUCCACACACGUGGACUCACACAGUCAAACGGUGAAUCUCACAUCUGCCUCAGAAUCAGCUACAGAUCCUCUCAGGCAGUCUGAGUUGCACACACUGCCAGAUCCUUCCUCACUGGACACACAACCAGUGUGAACUGGACCAGAGUCAGGUGGACCCAGCACAGACGGGAGCAUUGCCAGUAAGGGUGGACAUCAAAUGGGGCCAAGCUGCUGCACUUUAAGCUGGUGAGGACCGGGCCUGCAGUGCCUGGGAUCCACUGCCAGGUGGGAGCAGCUGCACCCUCUUUUAAGUGCCUUCUGCUCACCUGGGCGAUAAAUGUUCCCACGACACAACCGUCCACAAGUUCUGCCUCUGCCUCGGGGAAGUCUGAAAAACCAACAGAGUGUUGUUGGAUAUCAUGUUGUAGCAGGACGGAGAAAAGAGAAUCUUUUGUAUUUUAUAACAGCAUGUCCAAAAAAGUGUUUGUCCCUAAAAUAUUUGGCCUCUAAUGUGGGAAACAUGUCUGGAUGUUGUUGGGUAGUUUUAUUGUGCAAUGUUGUAUUUCUCAGUGAGCCUGUUCACUGUGCAGAUGCUGUAUGUAUAUUUUUGUACAGACUGAUUCACAAUUUGGAUCUGCGAUGUUAAAUCCAUUAAUACGGCCGAUGUGCCUUCUUUUUUUUUCUUUUUUAAACAUCACUGUGCUGCAUGGGUACAGAUCUUUAAGAAUGACUAUGCUAAAUGUGCUUGAUUCCAGUUAAUGCUGCUAGAUUGCUUCGCUUGUGUCAAUCAGGAUUAUUGUGCUGACUCGGUAAGAGCGGACGGUUCCAAAGGGCGUUCACUGUGACACCUGAAUACAGAAGUUUUCUUAUGAUCAUGUGAUUAUGUGGUCUGAUUACAAACUUGCAGGUCGGCUGCAGAACGUUCAUGUACAAAGACUUUUUUAAGAGCGUUUACAUGAAGUUAAUAACUUGCACAUUAAAAUCUUUUUUUUUUUUU